ensembl:lncRNA
GGAUGUUUCUUAAUUAGCUUUUCCGGGCUGAUCCAUCACCGGUGAGUUGUGGAGCACCGAACAAUGAACAAAAUGACAUUCAGCAGAGCCUCGCAGAGGAGACGAUGCGGACACAUGACUGAGAAGGUCAGGUGUCCCGCCACUCUGCCGUCCACCAAUCACAUGCUCAAAUUGAAAUGUUCCUUUGACGUCUUGAUGAACGACCCCAAGCUGAGCUGAGCACACUCCCACAGGCGCCAUGGGGCGGCCAUCUUCAAGGUUGUCCUGACGACCGCGUCGCCGUGGACCAGAGGUAAGGAAGCAAACAGAGCCACGAGAAAAGACGAGACAAAUCCUCCUCACAGAGCUGAUUUACCUCAGCUGUGAGGCAAGGAUGCUCUGCAGUAUCAAAGCCAGAUUUCCUCGGGUGCUGCGUUUGUAGGAUUGGAGGAUUAACUCAAGUCAUUGUUUCUCUGUCUUUGUUAUUCACAUCAUUUCAAUUAAAAAAAUUGAGUCUUUGUGGAUUAUCGUCUCAUGCUUCGAC